AUGUACAUUCAUACAACGUUAAUGCAGUGGAUCACGUUAGAACUCUACAAUUAAACACACUUGGGAUAUAGUAGUACUGGGAUGGGUGACCUACUAGGAAGUCCUAGUGUUUUACAUG
rfam:Picea glauca, whole genome shotgun sequence.